CCUGGCCUUGACAUCUGUCGAUCCUGCAGAGAUGNGGGAGUGCCUNCGGAACGANUGAGACAGGUGCUGCAUGGCUGUCGUCAGCUCGUGUCGUGAGAUGUUGGGUUAAGUCCCGCAACGAGCGCAACCCUUGCCCUUAGUUGCCAUCAUUCAGUUGGGAACUCUAAGGGGACCGCCGGUGACAAACCGGAGGAAGGUGGGGAUGACGUCAAGUCAUCNUGGCCCUUAUGGCCAGGGCUACACACGUGCUACAAUGGUCGGUACANAGGGUCGCCAACCCGCGAGGGGGAGCCAAUCCCAAAAAGCCGGUCGUAGUCCGGAUCGCAGUCUGCAACUCGGCUGCGUGAAGUCGGAAUCGCUCAGUAAUCGCGAAUCAGCGAUGUACGCGGUGAAUACGUUCCC
rnacentral:rRNA from 1 species